rnacentral:rRNA from 1 species
AACGUAGGAGACGAACGUUAUCCGGAGUUACUGGGCGUAAAGGGCGUGUAGGCGGUUUGUUAAGUCUGGCGUGAAAGCUCUCGGCUAAACCGGGAGAGGUCGUUGGAUACUGGCGAACUAGAGGAUGGUAGAGGCGUGUGGAAUUCCGGGUGUAGUGGUGAAAUGCGUAGAGAUCCGGAGGAACACCAGUGGCGAAGGCGACUACCUGGCCUGUUCUUGACGCUGAGGCGCGAAAGCUAGGGGAGCAAACGGG